GACGAACGCUGGCGGCGUGCUUAACACAUGCAAGUCGAACGGAAAGGCCCUGCUUUUGUGGGGUGCUCGAGUGGCGAACGGGUGAGUAACACGUGAGUAACCUGCCCUUGACUUUGGGAUAACGUCAGGAAACUGGGGCUAAUAACGGAUAGGAGCUCCUGCUGCAUGGUGGGGGUUGGAAAGUUUCGGCGGUUGGGGAUGGACUCGCGGCUUAUCAGCUUGUUGGUGGGGUAGUGGCUUACCAAGGCUUUGACGGGUAGCCGGCCUGAGAGGGUGACCGGCCACAUUGGGACUGAGAUACGGCCCCGACUCCUACCGGCGGCAGCAGUGGGGAAUAUUGCACAAUGGGCGGAAGCCUGAUGCAGCAACGCCGCGUGCGGGAUGACGGCCUUCGGGUUGUAAACCGCUUUCGCCUGUGACGAAGCGUGAGUGACGGUAAUGUGUAAAGAAGCACCGGCUAACUACGUG
rnacentral:rRNA from 1 species